GGGGAUUUAGCUCAGUGGUAGAGCGUUUACCUAGGAAGCGCAAGGCCCUGGGUUCGGUCCCCAGCUCCA
rfam:Rattus norvegicus chromosome 18, whole genome shotgun sequence.